GAUGAACGCUGGCGGCGUGCCUAAUACAUGCAAGUCGAACGAAACUUCUUUAUCACCGAGUGCUUGCACUCACCGAUAAAGAGUUGAGUGGCGAACGGGUGAGUAACACGUGGGCAACCUGCCCAAAAGAGGGGGAUAACACUUGGAAACAGGUGCUAAUACCGCAUAACCAUAGUUACCGCAUGGUAACUAUGUAAAAGGUGGCUAUACUACCGCUUUUGGAUGGGCCCGCGGCGCAUUAGCUAGUUGGUAGGGUAAAGGCUUACCAAGGCAAUGAUGCGUAGCCGAAUUGAGAGGUUGAUCGGCCACAUUGGGACUGAGACAAGGCCCAAACUCCUACGGGAGGCAGCAGUAGGGAAUAUUCCACAAUGGGCGAAAGCCUGAUGGAGCAACGCCGCGUGGGUGAAGAAGGUCUUCGGAUCGUAAAACCCUGUUGUUAGAGAAGAAAGUGCGUGAGAGUAACUGUUCACGUUUCGACGGUAUCUAACCAGAAAGCCACGGCUAACUACGUG
rnacentral:rRNA from 1 species